UACGGAGGAUGCAAGCGUUUAUCCGGAAUGAUUGGGCGUAAAGCGUCCGCAGGUGGCGAUGUAAGUCUGCUGUUAAAGACCGGGGCUUAACUUCGGAAAGGCAGUGGAAACUGAACAGCUAGAGUAUGGUAGGGGCAGAGGGAAUUCCUGGUGUAGCGGUGAAAUGCGUAGAGAUCAGGAAGAACAUCGGUGGCGAAGGCGCUCUGCUGGACCAUAACUGACACUCAGGGACGAAAGCUAGGGGGAGCGAAUGGG
rnacentral:rRNA from 1 species